rnacentral:rRNA from 1 species
GAUGAACGCUGGCGGCGUGCCUAAUACAUGCAAGUCGAGCGAACGGACGAGAAGCUUGCUUCUCUGAGGUUAGCGGCGGACGGGUGAGUAACACGUGGAAAACCUACCUAUAAGACUGGGAUAACUUCGGGAAACCGUAGCUAAUACCGGAUAAUAUUUUGAACCGCAUGGUUCAAAAGUGAAAGACGGUCUUGCUGUCACUUAUAGAUGGAUCCGCGCUGCAUUAGCUAGUUGGUAAGGUAACGGCUUACCAAGGCAACGAUGCAUAGCCGACCUGAGAGGGUGAUCGGCCACACUGGAACUGAGACACGGUCCAGACUCCUACGGGAGGCAGCAGUAGGGAAUCUUCCGCAAUGGGCGAAAGCCUGACGGAGCAACGCCGCGUGAGUGAUGAAGGUCUUCGGAUCGUAAAACUCUGUUAUUAGGGAAGAACAUAUGUGUAAGUAACUGUGCACAUCUUGACGGUACCUAAUCAGAAAGCCACGGCUAACUACGUG